AAUUAGGGAUAACAGCUAUGUGAGCUGUGAGCCAGACGCCACUUACUGUUGUUUCAUUCCCUAUCUGCAAACAGAACAAGCAAAACCCUUAAAUUAUAAAGUGAAGAAUAUCUGCAUCUCUCCCCCACUCAGUACAUAUCAUUUUCGUCGUCCUCAUCUCCCUCUGCUUCCUCCCUCCUUUGCAUGUAUUCCCCACGCGCCGCUCCUCCAUACAUGAUCUUCGUCAUCGUGGGUGGGACCUAUGCGGCUAUGCCUUUUGAUCUCGCAGAGUGAAUGGAAUUGGGCCUAUUUUUCACAUUGAUAUUGCAAUGCAUUGGAGUAGCGAGCGUGGAAUGAACGCGCCGCCGUAGGGGUCGGAGUGAGAAAAUAGAGAUGUUGCCCUCCUCACUCUGAAGUUGUGAAAGUUACUAAUAAGAACUAAGAAGACCCCUCAAAUUCCGGAAAAUAAAUACCACAAUAAAAAUGAUCGGCAAAUAGUACCUUCAAUAAAAGCUGAAAAGAAGAAAACAAGAUCCGCCUCGAUCCUUUCUCCACCCUCCUCUACAACUCCCCGUCCCUCUCCACCACCUACUCCGUCACCACUAUCACCACCACCUUCCUCUGAAAUCCUGUCUCCCCCGCCUCUCAUUCUCAUCGAAUUCCAGACACAGAUUCUACACAAGAAUCAUAUAACAUCCCUGACUCUACCACCACUUCCCCUGUUUCCUUUCCAUUCUUUUACUUUCCUUGUCAAAACUCAGACAUCCAGUUAUUUAAUCAAUAUCUUUAUCCAAAAAUCCAGUCUUUUUUCCAGAUCAUCCCAACCCAGUGACUGGAUAAGAGAAAAAGAGAAAUAGUGGAUUGGAUUUUCUGGGGAUCAGAUUUGAACGACAAUGAGGGAGGACGACUCGAAUUGGUUCUCCGGAUGUGAAGAGAGACUUCCUUCCCUGGACGAUCUCAUGCCUCUCUCCCAAACCCUAAUCACGCCUGAUCUUGCCAUGGCUUUUGACAUCCGAAACCCCCACAGCCCUCGCCAUCAAAUCCCUCAACCCCCACCUCCUUCGAAUCCCUUACCUUCUCCCGGCAAUCCCACACAACCCAACUCUGCUGAAUUUGCCGAUUCCGCCGAGCUGGGUUCUGGAACCGCCGGUGAAGAGCCCGCACGUACCCUCAAGCGCCCUCGCCUCGUCUGGACUCCACAACUUCACAAAAGGUUCGUGGAUGCCGUCGCUCACUUGGGUAUCAAAAAUGCUGUGCCCAAAACCAUAAUGCAGCUGAUGAGUGUGGACGGGUUGACCAGGGAAAACGUGGCCAGUCAUUUGCAAAAAUAUCGACUUUAUUUGAAGCGCAUGCAGGGACUAUCCGCCGGUGGGGCCGGCGCCGGCGGCGGUGGAGGCGGAGCUGGUUUGGGCGCCUCCUCCGAUCCUGCCACUGAUCAUCUCUUUGCAAGCGGCCCCGUGCCGCCCCAUUUCUUACAUCCUGCAGCUAGGUCCAAUUCCGACCAUUUCUUGCCGUUCGUGCCGGUUCCGGCGGCUCUGCAGCAUCACCAUCCCCACCAGCAGCAUAUGGCAGCGGCUGUAGCCGCCGCUGCCCAUCCCCACUUGCAGCAGCAGUAUCAUAGGCAAGUGGGGCAUUUUGGGUCGCCGCCGAAUGGGAGCUUUGACCAUACGUUUCUGACAAGACAGCCUCAACCACUUCAUAGGAUGGGUCAAGCAAUGCAGCACAACCCAGUACUUGGAUCUGUAGAGGACAUGGAAUCGGCUAACGCAGCUGGAGGGAGAAAGGUUCUUACUUUGUUUCCCACUGGAGAUGAUUGAAAUUUGGGCUAAUAGUGGUAAUGGUAAUCAGAUCAUCCCUCUUACCAUCUUGUGAAAUUAAUGUGUGGCGGUGCAUAAUGCGCUGUUUGAGUUUGUUCACGGUCUUAAUUAUUUAGCUGUUAAUUGUAUUAGAGUUCUAGGUAAUGCUGGGAGGGUGCUAAUUGGUUUUGGAGCCUAGUUGUUAUUUGCAGAUCCAAUAGUUCCGUUGUCUUGGUCUGGUGAGAUAAUCGGGUAUGUCUCAUAAUAAUGGAUGAUUGGGAUUAAUUGGUCCUUUAGUAGGUUUGACAGUGGUGUCCUUCGUGUAGACAAUCACGUCUGUAAUUACGUUGUUGGUCGUAGCUUAUUCUCUGACAUUCAUAAUGAAUGUUCCUUCUGGGCGGCAACAAUAUCUGCAAGCCUGUGUCUCUUUGUUGGUUCAUCAUCACAUAUUAAUGUUCCAGCUUGGGAAGUUCUAUGUUGGCAUUCAUGUCGCGAGUGGCUGAGGCAACAAGUUCGGUAUCUGUGAGCCUUCAGGGGGUAAUAAAACAUGUAUUGAGCUCAUUAGAAAAGCAAAGAAGCAUAUCCGGUUGCUUCAUUUGGAUGUGAAUUCCUCCUCUGAAUUCAGGAGCCUUUGUUGUGGAAGACUUGUCUCGUUGAGUGUCAAGGUUUUUUGUCCUGCCCAAGUGAGUGAGUUGAACGUUGUUUUGACCCUAAAAGAAGGCUUCAAUGUCAGAUCGCUAAUUCAGUAAUUGCAGAAUGGCGACCGAGCGAAAAGAAAAGUAAGAAAACGCGGGGAAUUUGCUGUGGACAAUUUUUUAACCGUUGAUUUUGUGCAUCAGUCCAACAAAAAGUUGCUGUCUCUUUAUCCUCGAAUUCAGUUAAAUCUUUGAGAGGUUAACGAAGAGGGUGAAAGCGCCCGUUAACUAACUAGAAAGCACAAGGGAGUUCAUCCCAGUUACAUGAACCUGAAUGUCAUCCCUGUUACCAUCUGGGACGCCUAGUGGUGGCACCAUAAGGCGCCAAAGCGCCAGCAGAAUAUUCAGAUCCUCUAGAAAUUGAUCUAAAUAGUUUUAAGCUGCCAAUGCAGAAUUUCUAGUAGUAGGGAGCUAAUUCCAUCAUCCAAAGGAGUUGAAGAAUCAGAUUCAAUAACGAGCCUCCUGUAGCCACGAGACCAAGCUAGUUUCAAGCCACGAAGGAUGGCCGGAGCUUCACCUUCUGGGGCACAAAACAACCCCGGAUAAGGAGUACAGGCAAACAAGCACGUACAUGAAAUAUUUAAGCGGCCUGAAGAUCCAUAUAUGAGUGUUAAGCUUAAUCCAACCUUGUAGAGAAACAAGAGAUCGCCUUUUCAAGGGUGACCGAAAGUGAAUUAAGUAAUUAACUGCAAUAAUCCAAAAGCCGUGGGCGGGGCUGUAGACAAACAAAUCGCCAUGAAGUAGAAUCACCUGGCUUUGGCAACAAAUUUACAGGUAGUGGGCUAAAAAUGUGAAGAGCAUGUGAAAUGUUGCCAAUUUUACGGAAUCAUUGCCCGCUUUGACUGCAAGGAAGGAAUUAAUGGCUGCGUCACGUGGCGUGAAAUGAGAGGGAGAGCGAAAAAAUAUGACGUUUCUACACACUUGCUGCCCAGGCGUUUAUUUCCAAUGUCAUGACUCGUUUAGUGUAGUAUGUUCUGGUAUGUUUUUGGGUUUGCAUGCUAAUAACAGACCGCAUU